rnacentral:lncRNA from 1 species
GUUGUGCGUGUUUGUAUCAAUUCUCCUUCCGUAUUUUCAACCACAGUGAUACCUGAUUUCUUGGGUACCACUUAUGUCGGACUCACCCACUUACUAUCAGAAAUUGGGUAAAUAAUUCCGGCAUCUAAUAACUUCACCACUUCUUUCUUGACUACCUCCUUCAUGUUAGGAUUGAGUCUUCUUUGCAUUUCUCGGGUGGGCUUUGCAUCAUCUUCUAGAUGAAUUCGAUGCAUACAAACAGAGGGGCAAAUCGGCUACAGACCAUCCUAUGGCAUGUUUAUUCUCUUCUAGCACCCUUAAAAGUUUACCCUCCUGUUCAGUAGAUAAGUUGGCCGCGAUGAUUACAGGAAGGGUAUCUUCUGGUCCUAGAAAGGCAUACUUAAGAGUUGUCGGAAGUGGCUUUAACUCAAGUUUAGGUGGAGAAUCAAUGGAAGGACAAAGUGGUGCGCUAGAAAUGGGGGGAAGAGGUUCAGGUCGGAUCUUCCAAGGAAGGGAACUCAUGGGAGAUUGAUUGUCGAGUAAGAUAUUGACUUCUUCUAUGGCCUUAUCCAUGUCAAAGUUGUCAAUGUCAAAAUGGGCCAAGCAUGUCUCUAGGGGGUCAUCUGCUAAGAUAUAAGGAAGGGCUUCCUCUACAAGAUCAUCCAUUUCAUCAAUUAGGCAACACUCUUCUUCCCUCACAUGUUGGUCAGCGUUAUGAAACACAUUCAAUUUAAUUUUCAUGUUCCCAAAUGAUAUAUCCAUUGCCCCAGUUCUACAGUUGAUACAUGCAUUGGCUGUCGCUAAAAAGGGACGACCAAGAAUCACAGGGAUUUGUUUUUUUAGGUUGGGCACAUGUUCCAUGUCAAGGACGAUAAAAUCUACUGAAAAAUAGAAUUUGUCUACCUUGACAAGAACAUCUUCAAUCAUUCCCCUUGGCAUCUUCACCGAUCUAUCAGCCAAUUGUAAAGAUACCGAGGUAGGUUUCAAUUCAUCCAACCCAAAUUUUUCAUAGACUGAAUAGAGUAGAAGAUUCACACUUGCCCCUAGAUCUAAAAGUGCUCGAUCAAUGGAGUUAUCUCCUAUAACACAGGUAAUAGUGGGAGCGCCAGGAUCUUUGAAUUUUGGAGGGGUGUUGUGUUGGAGAAUGAAACUUACCUGCUCAGUUAGGAGGACCUUUUUAGGCACAUGUGUCCUAGAUUUUCGCUUUUGGGUGCAAAGGUCUUUGAGAAAUUUGGCAUAAGAGGGAACUUGUUUGAUGGCAUCAAGGAGUGGGAGGUUGAUUUUAACUUGUUUGAAGACCUCCAUCAUUUCUUCUAAUGAAGUUCCCUUCUUGCCAAAGGGAGAGGGUGCAUUAAGUGCUUCAGGGAAUGGAGCCUUUGGAAUGUGGGUUGUGGCAGAUGGUGGACUAGCUGAAGAAGAUUUUGGGUUUUCAUGUGAUACAUUCCUCUCCUCUUCUUCAUCUUCCUUAUUGUUAUCCUCCCCAAUCUUAUGAUCUAUUACACGUCCACUCCUAAGGGUACUCAAAGCAUUGGCUUGCUCAUGAUUUAAUCGAGUUUCUUGAAACACGUAUUGUCCUCUUGGGUUACUCAUUGGUUGACUUGGAAGCUUGCCUUCCUCUCGCUUUUUUAAUGCAUUAGCUAGUUGACCCAUUUGGAAUUCUAGCUUAGCAAUUGAUCGCGUGUGAGAGUGCAAUAGUUGUGUGUUUGCCUCCAAACCUUGAAGGGCAGUCAACAUCUUCUCCUCAAAGGCUGUAUUUCUUUGGGUUGGAGGAGGAGGAUGUUGAAAUUGAGUUGAGGGACGGUAGAGAUGAAAAUUCUGAGGGUUUUAAAAAUUUUGGGAGAAGGGUUGGGAGGUAUUAGAAGCUUGCUGCCUCCAAGAAAAAUUUGGAUGAUUCCGCCAACCCGGGUUAUAUAUAUUGGAAAAUGGGUCAUUACCCGGUCUGGGCUGUGUUUGGGNNNNNNNNNNNNNNNNNNNNNNNNNNNNNNNNNNNNNNNNNNNNNNNNNNNNUCAUAAAUAGGGUGCGAUGGGCUAGAACAGAUAGCACACACUUGUGCUUGGGACGAGCUAACGAUAUGUCCUCCUAUCAUCAAUUGAUCAAUCUUAUGAGACAAUGCAUCUAUCUUGCUAGACAGGUCCAUGGAAUGACUUAUUUCACAAAUGGUCCCUUUUCUUUGAGAACUCGGGGGUACUUGAUGAGAACAGGAAGCAUGGUGGAGGGAGUUUUCAUAAAGAUUUUCAAAUAAUUGCCAUGCUUCAUGCUCAUUUUGAAGCAUGAAAGUCCCACCGCAUGCAGCAUCGAUCAUCUGACGGUUUCGUUCAGUCAAUCCGUCAUAGAAACAUUGCACUAGCUACCACUUAGGUAUUUGAUGAUGAGGGCAUUUACGGAUUAGGUUCCGAAAUCUUUCCCAAGUUUCAUGAAAUUCUUCUUCCACGGUUUGGAAGAAGCUUGUAAUGGCACGUCUAAACUGGUUCGUUCUUCCUAUGGAAAAGUAUUUUUUAAGAAAUUCUUAUUGCAUUUGACCCCAAGAAUGAAUCGAAUUGGCUUCUAAAGAAUUUAGCCAUUGUUUGGCUCUAUCUUUAAGGGAGAAGGGGAAUAACCUAAGUUUCAGGGCAUCAUCAGUGAAGUUCUGAAUCUUGACAGUGGUGCAAAUCUCAAAAAAUUCAUGUAAAUGUUUGUAUGGGUCUUCCUUGAUGAGCCCUUAAAAAGAUGGGAGCAUUUGGAUCACACUAGACUUUAUUUCAUAUUGUACAGCUGCUACCUCAAGUAAUCGAAUGCAAGAUGGGGAAGUGUAAAUAGUGGGAGUAAAAUACUCCCUCAGGAGUUUGGGUUGUUCUUCAGCCAUCUUAAGAGGUAGGGAUGAUCCUAAUGUUUUGAUCUUAGCUCGAAUGUUCCUAAGGGUUCGUUCUAUUUCAGGGUCAAAAGGUAAUAAGUCAUGUACUCUAGAACGACUCCCUUGCAUACACUAGUACUUGAUCAGUCAAGCAUGCAAUAAAAGAUAAACACAUCAAUCCUUGUAUUUGUCCUAAAAUCACUAGAUAGCUCUUAACUGGUUUGAAGAGGGCACCUAAGCCUCCAAUCCGGUCUAAUGAACCGAGUUGACCAGCUAAGCUCCCAGGUAAGUGGAGGAGUCACGAUGCGUUCGUAAAGGUCCCACUUAAAACCCACUUGCCUCGAACAGAUGAACUGUCUCCCUUAUAGGGACAAAGCUUGCCUAAACAUCAACUAAGCCACAGAGCGAAAUUGGUGCAACUUUCGGUGAUCUUCAUUCUAUUGAGCUCGGAUGUCCCUAGGAGCCAAUGUCUAAUUGAUUUUAAUUAAAGUGACACUAUGUGAGAUUGAGUUCACCUAAGUUGGGCAAGAAUCCGAUGAUGAAAUCCGGCUCUUAUCUUGUUGGGGUGAUUGCCCUUACUAUGUGCGGAUUAAUUUGUGUAUGUGUAUCAAGCAUGCAUUUACGCUUUUGCUGAAAUUGAAAUUAAACAAUCACCACAAAAUUUCAAGCUAAUAAUUAAUUUAAAUAAGAAAGGUUUAGAGGUUACCAAAGAAAAUUUCCCCAGCAAUUUAAAAUUUUUUGGGCAAACCUCUACAGCAUUCCUUUUCCGGCAGUUCUCUUUUGGAUCAUCCCAGAUUUUUUUCUCGAUUCCUGAUCAAAUAAUAUAAAAAGAAAAUUAAAAUUUAGUAGGAGAGAAAAAGGAGAUAAGAAAAAGUAACAACAAUAGAAAAUAUUUUUAUUUUAGAUAUAUAUAUAUUUUUAUUUUUAUUUUUUUAAAAAAGUUUUUUUAAUGAAAGGAAAAAUAACUAUGCUAGCAAUCCCCGGCAACGGCGCCAAAAAUUAUCGGUUAUUUCAAUUUCAAAAAUAAACCACGCAAUAGCACGUAUCCUGUAGGAUAGUGAUUACGGGUGUCGGUCCACAGGAAUUGGAGAAUAAGGUAUUUUUCUUUUAAAAGUAAAUCAAGAAGAAGAAUUUGCUAACUUGAUUUAACUAAAUUAAUUCAAAGGGCAUAAGCUAGAGUAAAAAGAAUUUUAAGUUAUCGAUUAAUGAGAGCUAAAAGUAAGAUGAAUGCAGUAGUAGGAAUAUUUUACGGGAAGAGAUGUUUAGGGUUAGAAUCCACCGAUGAAUUUGUAAAUAUGAUGCUUUCAAUGAUUUAGAUGCGUGUAUGAUCUGAUUGCUCUUAACUACAAGUUAGGGCAAUCAUAUAAAAAGUUGAAAUCUAACCCACAAUAUGAGUCAUCUAAGCCUGGUACAAACCAUCUUCUCUAAGGAUAGGCAUGGUCUGUCCUAUUUAGAAUGAUUCAUCUGAUGAUUAAUGUCUCAAAGAUAAAUCUGGUAGUUGCAUAACAAUCUCCUCCAAACCACAGGUAUUGAAUUCGAUUUCGAUAAACUAUAUUAAUUCAUGCAGAGGCUUUCUACAAGAUAAACAUCUUACACAAAUUAAACAAGACAUUUCAAGAUCAUAAUUUCAUUAAAUAUGCAACUGUCUUACAAUGCUAAAAAUCAAAGAAAUGCAACAUAAAUACUCAUCCACGGCUUCAUCAAACCCCUAAACCAAGAUUUAGCUGCUCAUGGNNNNNNNNNNNNNNNNNNNNNNNNNNNNNNNNNNNNNNNNNNNNNNNNNNNNNNCCUAGCCUCUCUCUCUUCUCUCUUUUUUUUUAUUUCUUCUUCUCCCGAACAGAGCCUCCUCUGUUCUUCAAACUAUCGCCUCCCCCCGCUUUUUCUCUCUUCUUCGUCUUCCUCUUAUAGAUCGCCGAAGACCAGCGAUGGAUCCCGAGAGAGGAGGAGGGCGUGAUGCUGGGAGAAUGGCUGGAUCUCGGGCGAAGAUGGGGAUAGAGCUUGAAACGGGUGCCGAUCCGGAAGGAGCUGGGUUACCGGCUCGUUGAAUGCAGUCGGCUGGGAUCGCGGUGAAGGCUGAAUCACGGGGAUUGGAGCUGGAAAUCGAUGGGAUCUCUUCUUGGAACGAAUCCGGGUGAAGCUCGGGAUGGCUGGAAUGCUUGGAGGAAAUGGCUGAUUUCCGACUGCUGAGAGGUGGAACGGGCGGCGGAUGGCACGCGGUUGAUGCGGCUGGCACGGAGCUGAUGCGGUGGUGCUGGAUCUCGGCUGAAGACACGGGAUCGACGGGAGGAGCUGGACGAGCCGAUCAUGGACGACUGGGCAGACGAUGAUCGCGGAGAAGUUUGAAUCACAGAGAUUUGAUGGCGGAGGAGCUGGGAUGUGAUGCUGUCUCGGAUGCUCGGAACAGCAGCCGUGCGGAGGCGCUGGUCACGGCGUGGAGCUGAAAAUCCGCAAGAGGAGAUGGCAUGAACGCGGUGGGCACGCGGUUGGAAAGGGCAGGGGGGCGCUUUGUGAGGCGGGAUCACGAGAAGGAUAGAUAGCGGGAGGAAGGAGAUAAACAGUGAAACAGUUUUUUUUAUUAUUAUUAUAUUAUUUCUUAUUUUUUUUGUAACACUGUUCAUAUGAACAGUGAAUCCAGUGAUUCUUCCCGAAAUUAUUUUUAUUUAUUUUAUUAUAUUCAUUAUUUUCUCUUUUUUUUUAAAUUUAUAAAUUUUUAUAUGAAGGCAGGUAAGAAAUUGGUUGGAAAUUGACUUUGGAUUUGAGGUGGGUCAUGAUCGUUAAUUUGCUUGAACUUACUCUCGAGCCCAAUGUCGUUUAAAUUUAAUUCUUGCUAAACAACUUCAGACCGGACUCAACAAGGCUAAAAGCAGGACCGUGACUUAAUAAAAAGGGUUAAUCAAACCCUUUUCCUCAUACAAGAAUAAUUAUCUAAUCAGGACCAAAACCUAUUUAAUCAUAGCCUUAGCUUGAUUACAACUCCAUCAGGUUACUAAACCGGAUCAACACAAUCUCCUCCUUAUAUGUUUUCAUGAAAGAUUACAACCAGGAGAGAGACAAGUUCAGAGUCUGUUUUGAGAAAAGAAUUAUUUACCUCUUACCAUAUUUUAAAUUUAUUUCAAUGUUUAUUCAAUUUCAUGGUAAAGUAUGUAUUUAUCAGUUUAAGAACAUUGAUAAGUGCUACGAAAAGAUAACUAAAUUAUAAAUUAUUCAGCACUUAUCACACCCCCAAACCUAUGUUUUGCUAGUCCUCGAGCAAAAUAAAACUAGAAAAGAAGAAUUCUAACUCACUUUCGCAGGCAUCGCGGUUUCAUUUACCAUAUGUAACAAGGCUUUAAACCCCUAGGUUACCCUAGUGGACGAGUUAUAGUCUCGUGAGGUUUUUCAGUGAAGAUACCCACAAACUUCAAUAAAUCAUUUAUUAUUAUUGUUAUUAUUAAUUUCUUUUUUUUCUUUUUUUAGAUCGAUUGAUCUAUGAAGUGAAAAUCAAAUUCCAAAUGCAUACUAGUAAAUAAUUUCAAAAACUCUUUUUUUAUUAUUAUUAAAAUCUAAUUUAAGAUACAUAAAUGAUAAGAAUUUCAGAACACACAUGGUUUUAUUUACUAGGUCAGCUCAAAUUCUAGGUCAAAAUGUAAUUCAAGUUGAGGUCAUUAAGUUUCCGUUAGGAAGUUGUAAGACUUAUUUAUACUGGAGUGCUCAGUGAAAUCUGGACCAUACACAAGCUAAGGAUUCGGAUCUCCAAAAUAUUGCAAAGACUAGUAGUUUUCAAGAAUUGGUCGAAGGGACUCACUGAUUCAAAAUCAUCUUAUCUACAGAAUUUUGAGAGUUGUGGAUGUUUACUUUAGUACCUCACGGGCUUUAUCUGUAAUAUUCCAGUUUACUCGAAUUUUUACAACGACGGCUUUCACACUAUUGUCUUUUUCAAGGUCAAUACAGAGUUUUUUUUUCUUUUUAUAUAUAUAUUGUGCACUUUUACUCUUGUGGUGAUUUCUCCGUGUAACGAGCAAUCAGUCGACAACUCUCACACCAGUUGGUAUAAGGUGUCGGGCAUCAAGACUCCCCUACGGACUUAUGCUCAGAGUCCUCAUCACAAGCCCACCUNNNNNNNNNNNNNNNNNNNNNNNNNNNNNNNNNNNNNNNNAAAUCCAUUAUUAUUGAUGAUUUUUUUUUUUUGGGAUUAGAUAAGUAUGAUUCAUCAGGGUCCAAGGUUGCUACUAUACUAUCAAUAUAAUGUCGAGCCUAGACCUUAGAAGUGUCGGCCAGUGUGUAGUAAAAUUUCGAAGUAUUAAUUAGCUUACAACUCCCUAAGAGAGACUUAAUGAAAAAAACUUAAAUUUGUAUUACUUCCGACUAGUCAUUGGGCUUUUUAGAUUUUAUAUACCUUGUGUGUUUAGCAUUCUCGCAUUAAUGUAUAGAAAUGAGGUUUUUUUUAAAAAAAACAAAAACUUUUUUUAAAAUUUUAUUAUUAUUAUUAUUAUUUUAUAAAAAUAAAAAUGAACACAUUUUUUUAAAAAAAUAUUUUUAUUUUUUAUUUUUUUAUUUCUUUUGAUAAACCUCACAUUAUGAAGUGAAAACGAAUGCAAGAGAUGCAAACAAAACAAAAAUNNNNNNNNNNNNNNNNNNNNNNNNNNNNNNNNNNNNNNNNNNNNNCCUCAAUGUUUAAAGAAAUCUAAGAGAAUUGGGUUGCCUUCCAACAAGCGCUAAGUUUAUUGUCUUCAGCCAGACAUGGUGCAUCCUUAAUUAUUUUGAUAAGUAGGGUUCGUCAAAUUAAGGGAUUCGAUCAAUUGCCCAUCGGUAACACAGUCCACAUAAGGUUUUAACCUUUGACCAUUGACUUUUAAAAUAUGUCCACCAUUGAGGUGUUGGAUCUCUACUGCACCAUAAGAAAAAACCUUUUUCACUAUGAAUGGUCCAUCCCACCUAGAGCGAAGUUUACCCGGAAAGAGUCGCAACUUGGAAUUGAAUAGCCAAACUUUUUGACCAGGUUCGAAGGACUUACGGUUAAUGUUUUUAUCAUGAAAAGUCUUAGUCCUCGCUUUAUAAAUUUUAGCAUUUUCAUAGGCCUCAUUGCGCAACUCUUCAAGUUCACUUAGUUGGAGUUUUCAGUUAGGACCAGCUGCUGCCAUGUCUAAGUUAAACUUUUUGAUAGCCCAGAAAGCUCUAUGUUCAAGUUCUACCGGUAAGUGACAAGCUUUUCCAAAAACUAAUCGGUAGGGAGACAUGCCAAUAGGAGUUUUGUAGGCAGUACGAUAGGCUUAGAGUGCAUCAUUUAUCCUUUGAGACCGAUCUUUCCUAUCGGGACGUACCGUUUUCUCUAAGAUGUGUUUUAACUCCCUAUUGGACACCUCGACUUGUCCACUCGUUUGGGGAUGAUAUGGGGUAGCAACUUUGUGGGUGAUGUUAUAUUUGCGAGCCAAAGCCUCGAAAGACCGGUUGCAAAAAUGAGAUCCCCCAUCACUGACGAUGGCUCGGGGUGUGCCAAAACGACAAAAGAUGUUUUCAUAUAAAAAUUUAAUCACAACCUUGUGGUCAUUAGUUUUNNNNNNNNNNNNNNNNNNNNNNNNNNNNNCAUAAUCAAUCCCUACAAGAAUAUAUUCGAAACCAAAGGAUAGUGGGAAAGGGCCCAUAAAGUCAAUACCCCAGACAUCAAAUAUUUCUACAAUUAAAAUAGGAUUGAGAGGCAUCAUAUCUCUACGAAAGAUGGUACCCAUCCGUUGGCACCGUUCACAAGUUUGGCAAAAGUUAUGGGCAUCUUUAAAAAGAGUGGGCCAAUAAAAUCCACUCUGUAAUACUUUUGCUGCAGUUUUUCUACCCCCAAAAUAUCCCCCACAAGCUUGUGAAUGGCAGAAUGAAAAAAUACUUUGAAAUUCGCAUUCGGGGAUACAUCGACGGAUUACUUGAUCGGGACAAUAUUUGAAUAGAUCGGGAUCAUCCCAAUAAUAGAACUUUACUUGUGAAAAGAAUCGGUUCUUGUCUUGAGUUGACCAAUCAUCAGGAAUUCGUCCUAUGGCAAGGUAAUUUACUAUGUUUACAAACCAUGGCGUUUUUAUUUCUUGUACUCCAAAUAAUUGUUCAUCUGGGAAAGCAUCAUGUAAGGGUGAGGUAUUCUUAGAGGGCUCAAGAAGAAUCCUAGAUAAGUGGUCUGCUACGACAUUUGCAGUUCCUUUCUUAUCACGAAUUUCUAGGUCAAAUUCUUGUAGUAAAAGAAUCCAUCGAAUCAGAUGGGGUUUGGUGUCCUUCUUUGCAAGAAGGUGUCGAAGGGCAGCAUGAUCAGUGAAUACGGUAACCUUGGAUCCUAAAAGGUAAGAUCGAAACUUGUCUAGCGCAAAUACUACAGCUAAUAACUCUUUCUCAGUGGUGGUGUAGUUCAAUUGUGCAUCUGAGAGUGCUUUACUAGCGUAGUAGAUGAUAUGAGGUACUUUAUCUAGCCGUUGCCCUAAAACUGCCCCAAUUGCAUAGUCGGAUGCGUCACACAUUAAUUCAAAUGGAAGGGUCCAAUUAGGGGGCCAUAUGAUAGGUGCAGUGGUCAAUUUCGAGCGAAGAUUUUCAAAUGCCUCCUCGCAUGCUUUAUCAAAGACAAAGGGAGUGUCCUUGGCCAGAAGAUUGCACAAGGGUUUGGAAAUCUUACUGAAGUCCUGAAUGAAGCGACGGUAGAAACCAGCAUGGCCAAGGAAUGAUCGGAUUUAUUUCACAGUUUUGGGUGGAGGGAGAUUGGAAAUAAGAUCGACUUUGGCUUUAUCUACUUCAAUGCCCCUCUUAGACACGACGUGUCCUAAAACUAUGCCUUCUUGAACCAUGAAAUGGCUCUUUUCUCAACUUAAUACUAGGUUGGUCUCCUUACAUCUUUUCAGAACUAAGGUCAAAUUGUUCAGACAAUCGUCAAAAGAUAGGCCAAAGACUGAGAAAUCAUCAAUGAACACAUCUAGAAAGUUUUCCACCAUAUCUGAAAAAAUGGCCAUCAUGCAUCGUUGAAAAGUUGCGGGUGCAUUGCAUAGUCCAAAAGGCAUCCUCCUAUAUGCAAAUGUCCCAAAUGGGCAAGUAAAGGUGGUUUUCUCUUGAUCGUCCGGGUAAACAGAUACUUGAUUAUAUCCAGAAUAACCAUCUAAGAAGCAGUAGAAACCUUGACCAACCAACCGUUCUAAAAUUUGAUCUAUGAAAGGUAGAGGAAAAUGGUCCUUUCCAGUCAUUGAAUUAAGUUUUCUGUAGUCAAUGCACAUGCGCCAACCCAUGGUUGUGCGUGUUUGUAUCAAUUCUCCUUCCGUAUUUUCAAUGGAAGGACAAAGUGGUGCGCUAGCAAUGGGGGGAAGAGGUUCAGGUCGGAUCUUCCAAGGAAGGGAACUCAUAGGAGAUUGAUUGUCGAGUAAGAUGUUAACUUCUUCUACGGCCUUGUCUAUAUCAAAGUUGUCAAUGUCAAAAUGGGCCAAACAUGCCUCUAAGGGGUCAUUUGCUAAGAUGUAGCGAAGGGCGUUCUCUACAAGAUCAUCCAUUUCAUCAAUUAGGCAACACUCGUCUUCCCUCACAUGUUGGUCAGCAGCAUGAAACACAUUCAACUUAAUUUUCAUGUUUCCAAAUGAUAUAUCCAUUGCCCCAGUUCUACAGUUGAUACAUGCAUUGGCUGUAGCUAAAAAGGGACGAUCAAGAAUCACAGGAAUUUGUUUUUUAAGGUUGGGCACAUGUUCCAUAUCAAGGACGAUAAAAUCUACUGAAAAAUAGAAUUUGUCUACCUUGACA